UCCCUGGUAGUAUAUCGGUUAGUACACGCGCCUGUCACUCUGAACGGUGCGCGCGAAAGCGGGGUUCGACUCCCCGCCAGGGAG